rnacentral:rRNA from 1 species
UACGGAGGGUGCAAGCGUUAAUCGGAUUGACUGGGCGUAAAGGGCGCGUAGGCGGGUGAGCAAGUCAAAUGUGAAAUUCCGGAGCUCAACUUCGGAGCUGCAUUUGAAACUGUUGACCUAGAGGGAUGGCGGAGAAAACGGAAUUCCACGUGUAGCGGUGAAAUGCGUAGAUAUGUGGAAGAACACCUGUGGCGAAAGCGGUUUUCUAGCUAUUACCUGACGCUGAGGCGCGAGAGCAUGGGGAGCAAACAGG